rnacentral:rRNA from 1 species
CCUACGGGAGGCUGCAGUGAGGAAUAUUGGUCAAUGGGCGCGAGCCUGAACCAGCCAAGUAGCGUGAAGGAUGACUGCCCUACGGGUUGUAAACUUCGGUUAUAAAGGAAUAAAGUGAGGCACGUGUGCCUUUUUGUAUGUACUUUAUGAAUAAGGAUAGGCUAACGCCGUGCCAGCAGCCGCGGUAAUACGGAGGAUCCGAGCGUUAUCCGGAUUGAGUGGGUUAACCGGGAGCGUAGAUGGGUUGGUAAGUCAGUUGGGACAGUUUUCGGCUCCACCGGAAAAUUGCAAUUGAUACUGGCAGUCUUGUGUACAGUUGAUGUCGUCGCACUUCGUGUUGUAGCGG